rnacentral:tRNA from 1 species
GGGGGUGUAGCUCAGAGGUAGAGCGUGUGCUUAGCAUGCACAAGGUCCUGGGUUCAACCCCCAGUACCUCCA